CCGUGGUCCAGUUGAAAGUGCAGGUGGAUAGAGAGAGUACCACUUGCCUGUGCCACCUGCAUGUAUUUUCCACUUGCUUAGAGUACCAUCCCAGGGGAGGGUUAAAACAAAAAUUAAUGUAUUUUUUAGGUGGAGUCCAAUCGCCAGACAGAGGGUAGUUCAGGAGGUCAGCAGUGGGGCUAGCGGAGGUGACAAAGCAGUUCUGGAGACCAGCUGCAGAGCAGAUCUGGAGGCCAAGCGAUAGGCAAGCAACGGAGGAGGCGUGACCUGGGAGGUGGCCUGGCAGCAGGCCAACAGUGACUGUAUAGC